UGGGUGUAUCUUUACUUUACUAUUUAUAAUUUUGACAACUUUUACUUCACUACAUUUCUAAAGAAAAUAAUGUAUUUUUUACUCCAUACAUUUUCCCUGACACCUAAAAGUACUCGUUACAUUUUGAAUGCUGAGCAGGACAGGAAAAUGGUCCAAUUCACACACUUAUCAAGAGAACAUCCCUACUGCCUCUGAUCUGGCAGACUCACUAAACACACAUGCUUCAUUUGUAAAAUGAUGUCUGAGUGUUGGAAUGCACCUUGGCUAUUCGUACAUUUAAAAAAGUAACUUGAAAUAAUUACUUUUGAUAUUUAAAACCAACUACUUGUAUUUUACUGGGUGAAUUUCGCUUUUAAGUGAGUCAUUUUCUACUAAGGUAUCUUUACUCAAGUAUGCCAAUUCAGUACUUUUUCCACGUGGUGGCUUUGGGGUUAAAUCCCUGCUUUCCAAACUAGGUUCAAAUCGUAUCUUUUGUGUUCAACCGCUGAAACUUAAUGUCAAAUAUACAAAAAGUGGAAUAUUGAUGGAGUCUGGUUAUGGGGUUAAAUCUCAGUCUUCCAUUCUAGAGGGAGCAGGUUCAAAGCUCCAACUUCAGUGUGGAUUUCUGCAACUGUCAAUGUGAAAAUGACAAAGAAAACAGAGGUGUGAAGGAGUCUGUGGCUCUGGUGUAAAGAUCUCACCCUGUAUGUUCAGGGUUGUAGGUUCAAACCCCAGUCUGAGUGAGAAGGGGUCUGUCGCUCUGGUGUAAAGAUCUCACCCUGUAUGUUCAGGGUUGUAGGUUCAAACCCCAGUCUGAGUGAGAAGGGGUCUGUCGCUCUGGUGUAAAGAUCUCACCCUGUAUGUUCAGGGUUGUAGGUUCAAACCCCAGUCUGAGUGAGAAGGGGUCUGUAGCUCUGGUGUAAAGAUCUCACCCCAUACGUUCAGGGUUGCAGGUUCUGUCACAGCUCUGGAUCAGGAUGUGUUGGGACCAUGAACUCUGCUGCAGAAAGAGUCAAGGCCACUAGGAGUGCCACACCGACACGAUCAGAGAUAUGGUAAGCUGGGGGUUCAAUCCUGGAGCUCCAGAAGAGCAACCAGCAGAGGUUAUGGAGGAAAACCUCUGAAUAAAGUGGUCUUUAAGUGUCCAGGAGAUAAUCUCCAUAACCGUCUCAGACUGACCCAGAGAGGCUGCUACUCAGACACACAACCUGCCACACCCAGGGCUUCAACUCAGUACCCUGUGGGCAGGAAGCUUACCACCCAGGGCUUGAACUAAGUACCCUGCAGUCAGUCAUCCCAGAGAGCUCAGCUGGUUCCCUACGGAACCCUCCUAACCUUCUACUAGACUUGCAGUAACGUACAGGCUCUUCCUCAAUCUUACCUCAAAAUCUGUUGGAAAAUGGGAUGGAGCGUUGGCCUUUUCCAGUACUGUUGAGGCGGCUGCCAGGAGAUCGAGAGGUAUUGUGGAAAGACGAACAGUAUUUGAAAUAGAUGAAUGAAAAAUCAUGCAGGACCACAAACUGGGCAGGAAAAAAUUAAAUAAAAUCCAUGCCACUACAGAAAACUGAGCACGAUAAAAAGAGGAAUGUCUGAUAAUAAAAUCCCACAAAUGACAUUUUGAAAUGCACCUCAAGUCAUCAACAUAAAGUAUUAGAUAUCACAAAGCCAAUAAACACAAACUUUCCCACAAUCCAAACCCUUUUUAUUAGAACAAUACAGCAGAUAUAAAGACCUAUUGCAAAUCACACGGUCAACACUGGACGUGUGCUUCAACAAACAAAAUGCACUUCCCCAAAAAACAACAAAAAUGAAAUAAAUUAAUUAAAAAAACUAAUAAAACUAAAACAUCCAUUUCCUUUGAUGUUUUUUUUUCUGUUGAAAUGUCAGAAUGAAACAAAGGCCUUGUAACUCUGGGCUGAAGACUGAGAAGUUAAGACAUCUAUAUAGUCUCAACACAGAGCAUUAAGGACCUAGCCUG
rnacentral:lncRNA from 1 species